rnacentral:rRNA from 1 species
UACGUAGGGUGCAAGCGUUGUCCGGAAUUAUUGGGCGUAAAGAGCUCGUAGGCGGUCUGUCGCGUCUGCUGUGAAAACUCAGGGCUUAACCCUGAGCUUGCAGUGGGUACGGGCAGACUAGAGUGCGGUAGGGGAGACUGGAAUUCCUGGUGUAGCGGUGAAAUGCGCAGAUAUCAGGAGGAACACCGGGUGGCGAAGGCGG